UCACAUAUUCAAUUCCAGUGUUCCGAGAACUGGCAAAGCUCUGCAGUAACAAUUUACCUGCCUACAACCUUCAUCUACAGACUGUCUCCAGUAACAUGACAGACGACCAUGGGUCCUACUACUACAGGUACUUUGAAGACUCCUGCUUGAUGGCGGUAUUUCAAGAAUUUUGCUGAAACAAUGGCUGCUCGACAGACAGAAAAAAUGAUCCCUGCGUUAUUCUUAUCUAUGUAUACAAGAUACACUAGCAGUUAGAAAAUGAAGAAUGUUCUUAAAAGUCCCUGACAAGACUGAAUGUUGAAAGAAAGGCACCUUCUAGACAGCAGUAUUUCUAAGAACACUACCCAGAACCAAGACUGAAAACCGAAGAAAUGUAUUUAAGGCCUUAAUUAUUAAAUAAUGAAGUAAAAUUUUGUCUUAUUAGUUACAAGGCAAAGCAAAUAUUUUUCUUAAGAAUCCAAAAAUAGCGUACCCACUCCGCUUUCACUUGCAACAAAAUGUAGCCUGAAAGGC